ensembl:lncRNA
CCCUGACUGAAUAUAAUACCAACAAUAAUACCAACAUGUUUCAAGCAGACCCCCAUAGUGCCUGUGUCCAAGAACACUAAGGGUGCCUGCCUAAAUGACUACCGACCCGUAGCACUCACGUCUGUAGCCAUGAAGUGCUUUGAAAGGCUGAUCAGGCUCACAUCAAAACCAUUAUCCCAGAAACCCUAGACCCACUCCAAUUUGCAUACCUCCCCAGCAGAUGAUGAAAUCUCUAUUGCACUCCAGCACUUCCCCUUCCCACCUGGACAAAAGGAACACAUAUGUGAGAAUGCCAUUCAUUGACUACAGCUCAGCAUUUGACACAGUGACCACAUCACUAAGCUAAGGGCGCUGGGACUAAACACUUCCCUCUGCAACUAGAUCCUGGACUUCCUGACGGGCCACCCCCAGGUGGUAAGGGUACGUAACAACACAUCUGCCACACUGAUGCUACACCUACUGGAGAGCUCUUCGUCUACACACAUUCAGCAUCGUUCCUCAAACCUUAGCCCCACCCAUCUCUUUAAUUAUUCACGUGAGGCCAUGUGGUAAACACACGCUAUAUCAAAUCAAAUCCAGGUUUAUUUGUCACAUGAUAGAGAACAUGUAAAUAGCACAGUGAAGUGGUUACUUGCAUAGUAUAAAAAACAGAAUGUGUCCAGAAAAUAGUUGAGCAAUAUUAGAUGACACUUACCUGACACACUUGUCUAAAUUGAUUGGGUCAUGUGAAGGAAACGCUAUAACCACCCCCAGCCACAUCUAGCUAAGUGGAAGGGUCAUGUGAAGGAAAUGCAAUAACCACCCCCAGCCACAUCUAGCUAAGUGGAAGGGUCAUGUGAAGGAAAUGCAAUAACCACCCCCAGCCACAUCUAGCUAAGUGGAUGGGUCAUGUGAAGGAAAUGCAAUAACCACCCCCAGCCACAUCUAGCUAAGUGGAAGGGUCACUAUUGUCUAGACAAAAAAACAUGUUCAUGAAAUACAAUAGAUGACUGUAAUCCCCCCGAGACACACCUGGCUAAUUUGAUGGGUCAUGUUGUAAUUCGGCUGAAGUGGAGUCUUUUGUUUAGACACGUAGCUAGCUAGCUGAACAAUGAACCAAAAUCUCAACUCAUACUACCACCAAUACAAACAUUGUCAUAUCUGUAGUGUGAAUCUGCAGGUAGCUAAAGCUAACAAACUAGGUUCAAUGUUAGCUAGCUAAGGUUAGGCUAUAACUAGCAAUGCAAAUGGACUUCUGAUUCGAGUAAUAUUAAUACACAGAUCAUAUACGUAAUGUUAGCAUGUUGGCUUCCUAGCUAAUUUUUCCUAAACUUAUAUCUGAAAAUGUAGCUAGACUCUUACUCGUUCGUAUACAUGGAUGAGCGCUUCACACAGACUGGAACCAUCUAACUCUGUUCUGUUUGUAGCUACAUCUUGUUUGGCCAGCGUUGUCAAGUCACUCCGGUUCACACUGACCGUGGCGUGUGCAGAAAGUAGCCCAUCACUUUCUCCAACUGCUCUGCCGCCUGCUACAUUCAGGGCAUCAAUGUUGAUGAGAAAAGUAGCAACACUUUUGCAGUUCUCGAUGACUAACAUUAUAUCUUUAAAAAAACGGCGCGGUAGAAAGGACUCAACAUUUAGUAAACAGCUCACGUUAUAUACACAGAAGCAUGCUUACAUGGCAGACCUAUCAAAACUCAUCUCCCGGCAUGUCCAGCCCACUCAUUAUCUCAGCCAAUCAUGGAUAGCGGGAAGGUUCCUGACUUUUUCCAUGGCUAAACCUACUAGGCUCGUAAUUGAACAAUUUGAUUUGUAUUUAUGUAUUGAACACAUAUUUGUUAUUAAGGCACAUGAACGUUCACAUGUUCCAGAAGGCCUUUCUGCCAAAAAACUGGUUUACAUAUUUUUAUUUUUUAUGUUUACAUUCAAAUGCCUUUUCUUCAAAUGCAGUCGCAAAAACCAUCAAGCGCUAUGAUGUAACUUGGCUCUCAUGAGGACCACCACAGGAAAGGAAGACCUGUGGUAAAAAAUAAAGACAAACCCUUGAAUGAGUAGGUGUGUACAAACUUGACUGGUACUGUAUGUCUCCAACUCUAAAUGGCUCUAGUGACUCAAAGUUAAAACCAUGAGCUGAACACUGAUGUUUUCUACUGUUGUUGGACUGUAAAAGUCAACUCAACAAAGCAAGCAUCAACUGACCCAGAAAAAGGCCAGCUAGGGUGAAUGGGUACAAAUCUGAUGGGGUCAAAACUUUUGGUAGAGGUUGAACACUAAAGAAAAAUAACAAUGUCCUUAAAAUGGAAAUAGAUGUACAAAAUAAAAAGUCAAGGAUUUAACCUCUACAGGAUUGGUGGCUCCCCCUCAGGACAGUUGAGCUAACAUAUGCUAAUGAAAUUAGCAUGAGGUUGUAAGUAACACGGAUAUUCCCAGGAUAUAGACAUAUCUGAUAUUGGCAGAAAGCUUAAAUUCUUGUUAAUCUAACUGCACUGUCCAAUUUACAGUAGCUAUCACACUGAAAUAAUACCAUGCUAUUGUUUGAGGAGAGUGCACAAUUAUGAACUUGAGAAGUUAUUAAAAAAACAAUUAGGCACAUUUGGGCAGUCUUGAUACAAAUUUUAACAUAAAUGUAAUGGUUCAUUGGAUUAGUCUAAAACUUUGCACAUACACUGAUGCCUUCUAGUGCCCAAAAUCUAAAUUGCACCUGGGCUGGAAUAAUACAUUAUGGCCUUUCUCUUGCAUUUUAAAGAUGGUACAAAAAAAUACAUGGUUUCUUCUUUGUAUUAUCUUCUACCAGAUCUAAUGUGUUAUAUUCUCCCACAUUCCUUUUACAUUUCCACAAACUUCAAAGUGUUUCCUUUCAAAUGGUACCAAGACUAUGCAUAUGCUUGCUUCAGGUCCUGAGCUACAGGCAGUUAGAUUUGGGUAUGUCAUUUUAGGAAAUCUGAUGGGGUCAAAAAGUUUGGUAUAGUUUGAACACUAACGAUUAAUAACAAUGUCCUUAAUAUGUCAAAUAGAUGUAUAAAAUAAAAAAAAGUAAAGGAUUUAAGAAAUGAAAUGUUUAUUUUGAAGGGACAAACUGUAAAAAAUGACUUUUCAGUUAAAGAGUGACAAUGAGAAACAAAGCCGCUUGGUUUGCUCUGCAGUACCAUUCAAGCAGAAAAUAUGUACAACAAAAUACACAUUGUAAUUAAAAAAAGCCAUGGUACUUUACAUUAAUAAUUACCCAUUUUGUGCCAUGUCUUCAUUGAUAAUGAUGCAUUUACACCAGAGAAGCUCAGGUGUCCUGUUGGUGGCAAUAUAAACCCUUAUCAGGUGAUCUCAACCAAUAUAAAACCCCAUCAGGUGUCCUGUUGGUGGCAAUAUAAAACCCCAUCAGCUGUCCUGUUGGUGGCAAUAUAAAACCCCAUCAGGUGUCCUGUUGGUGGCAAUAUAAAACCCCAUCAGGUGUCCUGUUGGUGGCAAUAUAAAACCCCAUCAGGUGUCCUGUUGGUGGCAAUAUAAAACCCCAUCAGCUGUCCUGUUGGUGGCAAUAUAAA